ensembl:lncRNA
AGGCCAGAGAAAAGGCAAAGGAGGCUGCAUGCCAUAAACGUCUGCUAGUCUUCUCCCACGUUUGCUUCGGCACGCACUCGUAGCCAAACUAAACACCACGUUAUCCUCAGCCAACACGUGUCAGGCACCUCACCUGUAGAUCAGCUUCCAUCUGAAAAGUUCAACAACAAAAAAAUAGCACCACUUUGUCCCUCUCUGUCCCUUCCCCUUAAGGAGCGGUGCGUGAGUCAGAUUAAAUAAUCAUUGGGACCGGGGUGCAUUUCACCUUGGGGACAUAUUGUCCCCCGUCAGUGGAACCUUCGGGGACAGAAGGCGGCUCGGCGGGGGAGCGUGGUGGGGAGCGCUCCGCUCUGAUGAAAUGGAGCUGGCUUAAUGAAGGCAUGGCCCGUGGCUUCCGCAGCUCUGCCAUAUGUUUCGCCAAAUGCAAAUGGCCCCCCAAUUCAAACAACUUUUUCAUCUUGAUCUAUGCAAAUGUGUUUAUAAAUACAGGCUUAUAAAUAUGGCAUUUCACGUUUUAAAGAGCGAACUAAAAGCUUCGAUACCCCCCUCCCUCACCCAGUGAAAAUGGCCGACGGAUGUGGGAUGGAUUAAUGGCAUCCCGUGGGACAGUUGGCAGGCACAGAGGUGAUCAGACUGUCUGAGAUGCAGCAGUAACAGCACCUGAGGCUCCAUCUGGGUGCCAAUGUCUUUGUCAAAAUCCUCCUGCCCACCUUGUGCCAGUCCUGUGUCAAAUGAUAAACACAUUUAAUACGGCAGUUAAUACAGUUUUGUACAGAAACUUUCAAGAGAUUAAAACGAGUAGUUGUGAGUAGAACAACAAUUUUGGUAGUCUCCGCAUAAUGGAGUUUCAAAAUGAUGGGCUUAUGAGGCCUAAAUUCUGAUGAUAUCAAGCUGUGGCACAAAAAAGCACUAAUUGCAUUAUGAUUAAGCAGAAAAAUUGUUACAGUGUUAAGGAAUGCUGACACAAUGACUCAGAAAAUUACUCAUUUUGUUAUGUCUGACCUUCAAACCUUCAGUACAAUAACGGCAACACACGUAUGUUUAAAUGUUGGGGAAACUGGG